rnacentral:misc_RNA from 1 species
CCGGAAAAGACAUACAGCGCAAAAUUAAUGAGAAUGUCAAACUGCACUAAAUAAUAACAAAUGAUAAGAAAUUUCAAUCACAAUAAGUUAAUCGUCUGCAUGUGCAAGUUUAGUACAACUAGCAACUGGUAGAUACUUUCCUUGUCAUCAUGAGAGUCCCAUCCAGUAAAGAACCGAUGGAUGGAGCCAGCUAAUUCUACACAACUCUCUCCGCCCUUCUUCUUCAAGCCACCAUCUCUCAUCAGCCUCCUGAAAUUUGCUGCUUUUUCCCACAUCCCAGCAUCAGCAUACAUGUUUGCAACCAUCACAAAAUUCCCACUUCUCCUUGGCUCCAGGUCAAGCAACUUCUGUCUCACCCUAUCUGCUACUCCAUUAUUGUUGUUAACAUCGUGAACAUUGCAGGCACUGAGCAAUGUUCUCCACACAAUUGGAUCAGGCUGGAAAGGCAUGCUCAUAAUGAAGUCAUAAGCCUCUUUCAGACGGCCAGCACGACCUAAGAUAUCAACCAUGGCACCGUAAUGUACCAUCAUCGGUUUGAUUUUGUACCUAUGCUCCAUUUCAUGAAAAUACUGAAACCCAUCAUCUACCAAACCAGCAUGGCUACAGGCACAAAGAACCCCAAGAAACGUGACGUAAUUUGGCCGUAUGGAAGAGCUCGUCAUCAUCUCAAGGAAAAGUUCAAGGCCCUCUUUGGCAAAUCCGUGCUGAGCUAGACCCAAAAUCAUUGCACUCCAUGUCCACACAUUUUUCUCCUUUACUCUAUCAAAAACUAGCCUAGCAUAACAAAUAGCUCCACUUUUUGCGUACAUAUCAACAAGGGCGGUACCCAAUUGAUAAUUCAGUACUAACCCUCUCUGAAUCACUUGAGAAUGAAUCCAUCUGCCUAAACCCAAGUUCCCCAUUUCAGCGCAGACUGCAAGCAUAAGCACCAUCGUCGUCUCAUCAGGCUCAAACCCAAAAUCCAUCAUUUUCACAAAAUAUCCAAUUGCGUCUCCCAUCCACAAACUCUCAACACAACUAGUAAUCACAGCAUUCCAUGAAACCACGGUUCUAACACACAUUUGAUCAAACACCUUACAUGCAUCCAAAAUCUUCUUGCAUGAUCCAUAAAAAUGGACCAAAUUAUUGUUGACAUACACAUCACAAUCCAAACCAUGCUUAAUAAGAUCUACAUGUACUUGUUUCCCUUCUUUGAUUGCAAAACACGUAGAACAUGCUUUGAGAAGAAAAGGGAAGGUCAGGUUAUUGGGUCUAAUUCCUUGUUUUCGCAUUCUGUGAAAGACCCAUAUGGCCUCUCUUGGGGUAUUAGUAGCAGCAUAGCCUCUAAUGAGAAUGUUCCAAGAAGAUGGUGGCAGUGAGUUAACAGAGUGAUAAAGCAGGGACUGGGCAUAACUCAAGUGGUUUGAAGGAGACAAAGAAGAGAACCGAAUGAGUUGAGAUAUGAGAAAGUUGUCUUGUUGGAGACCAGAAACUUGUAUCUGAGCAUGGAUUUGAUAGAGAUGUUUGAUUGAGGAGCAGAGUUUCAGGAGAGAGAGGCAUUGGUGUUUUGUAGAGAGGAAAUAUGAAUUACCGUUUGGAGUGAAAGAUUGGGCAGGAAGCCGAACCAUGUCAAUUUUUUUUAUAUCGUAGUCAUUUUGUU